CGUAUAAAUUGUGGUGAUACGUGGAUAUGGUAAAGGCUGGAAUCAUUGACCCGUUGAAGGUCAUUAGAACUGUGCUCGUUGAUGCUGCUAGUGUCUCUUCAUUGAUGACAACAACAGAGGCGAUUGUGGUAGAGCAACCGACAGAGGUGAAGGCUGGACCACCAAUGGGCGGCGGAGGAAUGGGUGGCAUGGACUACUGAGGUGAGGUGAUGGAAUGCUGCUUAACAAUUGUUUAACAGCAGAAAAGAAUAAAAGAGAGUUGUGUUAUUUUUAAGCGGGAUGCAAUGAUGGGGCGAGUUGGUUUGGUUUUGGAUUUGAUUUUGGUAGGGUUAGUGUUAGUUAGACUCAAUUGUUUUGGAAUUGUCCAUUAAUUAUUUAUCUCCGUCA